rnacentral:snRNA from 1 species
GUGACUAAACAAGGGGUGGUACAUGUACUAAAAUCGGAACAACACAGAGGAGAUAGCACAGUCCCUGCGCAUAGAUGACACGCAAAUUCUCGAAGCGUUCCGUAUUUUC